rnacentral:rRNA from 1 species
CGGGUGCACUGAUCCAGCCGGGCCUUUCCCUCUGUGGAACCCCAUGGCCUUCACCGGCUGUGGUGGGGAAACAGGACUUUUACUUUGAAAAAAUUAGAGUGCUCCAGGCAGGCCUAUGCUCGAAUACAUUAGCAUGGAAUAAUAGAAUAGGACGUGUGGUUCUAUUUUGUUGGUUUCUAGGACCGCCGUAAUGAUUAAUAGGGACAGUCGGGGGCAUCAGUAUUCAAUUGUCAGAGGUGAAAUUCUUGGAUCUAUUGAAGACUAACUACUGCGAAAGCAUUUGCCAAGGAUGUUUUCAUUGAUAAGGAACGAAAGUUAGGGGAUCGAAGACGAUCAGAUACCGUCGUAGUCUUAACUAUAAACUAUGCCGACUAGGGAUCGGACGAUGUUAUUCUUUGACGCGUUCGGCACCUUUCGAGAAAUCAAAGUGCUUGGGCUCCAGGGGGAGUAUGGUCGCAAGGCUGAAACUUAAAGAAAUUGACGGAAGGGCACCACCAGGGGUGGAACCUGCGGCUUAAUUUGACUCAACACGGGGAAACUCACCAGGUCCAGACACAGUGAGGAUUGACAGAUUGAGAGCUCUUUCUUGAUUCUGUGGGUGGUGGUGCAUGGCCGUUCUUAGUUGGUGGAGUGAUUUGUCUGCUUAAUUGCGAUAACGAACGAGACCUUAACCUGCUAAAUAGCCCGUACUGCUUUGGCAGUUCGCCGGCUUCUUAGAGGGACUAUCGG